rnacentral:rRNA from 1 species
GAUGAACGCUGGCGGCGUGCCUAGUACAUGCAAGUCGAGCGAACAGACGAGGAGCUUGCUCCUCUGACGUUAGCGGCGGACGGGUGAGUAACACGUGGAUAACCUACCUAUAAGACUGGGAUAACUUCGGGAAACCGGAGCUAAUACCGGAUAAUAUAUUGAACCGCAUGGUUCAAUAGUGAAAGACGGUUUUGCUGUCACUUAUAGAUGGAUCCGCGCCGCAUUAGCUAGUUGGUAAGGUAACGGCUUACCAAGGCGACGAUGCGUAGCCGCCCUGCGAGGCGUAGACGCCCACCUGGUACGUGAGCAUGGUCCGCAACCCUACGGGUGGGACCCGGCGGGGAUUCUUCCGGAAGGGCGCAAUGCCGAAGGAGCAACGCCGCGUGAGUGAUGAAGGUCUUCGGAUCGUAAAACUCUGUUAUUAGGGAAGAACAAAUGUGUAAGUAACUAUGCACGUCUUGACGGUACCUAAUCAGAAAGCCACGGCUAACUACGUG